GAUGAGUAGAAACAGAGCAGAUGAAAUUAUGGAGCCCAGGAGCUGGGAGUAGAAAUGAGAGAAGGAGGCGGCCCACUGUUGUACUGUCGGGAAAGUGUGGACAGUUGAGGAGGCAGGUGUGGUAAAGUGGAAGUGUUACUGGAUAGUAGUUCUUGCAAGAAGAAGCAAAGAGAAUACUGCAGCAAGGCAGUUGUCAAUAGAAGAGGUUAAAGGUGGUGUGUGUGUGUGUGUGUGUGUGUGUGUGUGUGUGUGUUAUUGUGGAAUUAACUGGAGUGCAGUUUUUAAUGAUGACCAAAUUCUUGGUGUGACUUGGAAGUUGGCAUUUCAGGUGGAAUGAUGGAAAAGAUCAAUCGGCAUCAAGCUGAUGGACCACUAGCCAAGGUGAGGAUGAUGCAUCCGCAUAACACUGGAGAUGCCCAGCGUGAUGGUAGGCUUAAAAUGAAAAGAAGACUAAGGUGAUCCUAAGCUCUUUAAUGAGUGAACAAGUGGCUAAGCAAUGACCAUAGAAAGAAGAGGAAGCUAUAACCAGCUGCUCAAAGGAGCAGCUUACAAAAGAGAGAGCAACCAUUUGUCUGGAAGUGGCAUGGGUUAGUCAGAAAGACAUUGUACCAGUUGCACUUCCUACCCUGAGGGUUGAGAGAAAACACAGCUCCUACUACCCGCUGAAGAGAAGAAGCAGGACCCUCAGGGGAAAGUGAGUGUUGGUGAAGGCACCGCAAGAAGACAGCCGUCGGCAAGCCAGGAAGAGGCUCUCACCAGACCAGCCGGCACCCUGCUCUUGCACUUCCAGGCUGCAGAACUGUGAGAAAUAAAUGUCUGGUGUGUAAGCCGCCAGCUUGUGGUAUUUUGUCAUGAAAGACUGAGCAGACUAAGAAAAAGGAACAGCAUAUCACAUUCAGGAAACAGAAGGUGGGUGUUAGUCUACAAGACUAUGCAAACUGACUAUGGAAACAGUAAAAAAAAAAAAAGUUCGAGGGGAAACACCCACAGCAACUAUAAACAUGUAAAAGAAAGCAAGUCCUUCUCAUUAGUCUGCAAUCUAUCUCCUUCCUUUCACAUCUGGAAAUGCUCAGUUAGACACAUGUCGAAACCCACAGCGUGCGCGUUUUAUCCCUAUGCAUCUGUCUGCAUCUUCCAUGGCAUUUUGCAGCCAUGUCUGUCUUUUGUUAGCAAUGGGAUGAACAAAACAAGAGCAAUAAACAUUUUAAAUCAACAACCUACCAUUUUUUUUUCUGCAUUAAAUAUGAAACAAUUGUUAUGCCUUUUCCAAAAAUAUUCUCCCACAAGGAGCCAUCAUCAGUAAUCAGAAUUAACGGAGGCGAGGGCCUCAGGAGGUCUGUUCCACACACAAACAUAUUCCAUAACCUUCAUUGUACUUAAGAACAACAUUAUGCUUUUUCUGAAUACCAUUCCAUGGUGCCACUAUAAUUAAGGGGCGUUUUGCUUAGUGUGCAGCAGGGAAGCCAGGGCUCUGUUUGCUAGGAUUGGAUCAAUUUGUGGGACAUUAAACUGGGUAUCUUUUUGUGAGUGGAUGUCUUUUUUGUGAAUCAUGCACUUGGAUGGAGAAAUUUUUUCAUUUGCAUGAACUAGUAGCAUACGCUAGCAUAAGAUUAGGUGCAGAGGUGGCAAUCACAUCUUCACCGAGGUUGAUAUUUAACACUACCUCAUCUCUUCUCUUUUUCAGCAGAGACAUUGUUAUCAUUUUUUACACCUGAGAUCCCUUUUGAACCACCAUACUUGGUCAGUAAUUCCCAGGGAGUUUAUAGUAGGAGAUGUUUUGAUCCAAGGAAAAAAUAAGUUUGUUUUCUUUCAAUAUUGUUUGUUUGCUAUAUUUAUUAUUAUUAUCAUCAUCAUCAUUAUUAUUUUUCAUUGCUAUACCAGUACAAGGAGGACAAAGUUUUAAUUAUUUAUUUAUUUAUUUAUUUAUUUAUUUAUUUAUUAUUAUUUUUUUUAAGGACAAAGUUUUAGUAGGGAAAUAAGUGGGCUGGUGGGGGCCAGGAAGAGCCAAAUAAGUGUUUCACUAGACUCAGAAAUCAAAUCUCCGAGAAGACUGAGAAAUUGUUGUGAGGGUCGAAACUAGGCUGUCAGUAAAAUAAAGGCUAGUUUAGGAUCUAGCUUUGUACACGGAAUGCAUUUGCUCUGGUUUUCCUUCCAUGUACAACUAGAUAGAGUAUAAGUGGGCAUGGCAAAAGGACACAGUAGGAUGAAGAUGGUUUUGGAAUUCAGACUAGCUCCAAGAUCUCUGGUCUGGAGUAGUUGAUGGGUUGUGGAAGAGCCAGUGGGCACGAUAGGUCUAAGUGGGUAAGAAACAUGGAAGUCAGGGAAUAGGGGUCAGAAACCCAGAAGAGAAGCCUGGAGAACCAAGAGCCUAGGACCUAUGAGUCUGUAAAGAAAAGAUCAAAUAAUAUUGGCCAAAAAUUAGGAAAGAAGGAUCAGGCUCUCAGCACAAGGUCUGAGCUGUGUGGUACCAGGUACAGGAAUAAAGCUCGAUUUCGAGGGUUAAGCUAAGUGUGCAGCAUCGGUGUGCACAGAACCGAUUUUGAGAAAGCCUGUGUGCAGUGUGUAGAACGUAGGUUCUUCUGAUGAGGGUGUUUUAACAAAUGGAGAAGUCAUUUCCUGAGGCAGGGUUUAAAACUGAAACACAAGGGGCGCCUGGGUGGCUCGGCCGGUUAGCGUCUGCCUUCAGCUCAGGUCAUGAUCCCAGGGUCCUGGACCGAGCCCCACAUUGGGCUCCCUGCUCAGCGAGGAGUCUGCUUCUCCCUCUGCGCCUCUCCAGCUCCUGUUCUCUUUUGCUGGCGCUCUCUCUCUCUCCCAAAUAAAUCAAUAAAAAUCUUUAAAAAAAAGAAAUUUAAUCUCUUAAAAAAAAAACGUAAACAUAUUUGUAAGUAUAAAUAAAGAGAAACCAGAGGGACACUUUUAAAGUAGUUGAUAAUGUUCCAGUAUGAAAAGGGUGUAAUCCCUUCUGAAUAUCAAUCCUUUACGUGGAAGCUAAGAAAUAUUUGCCAAUUAAUUUACUCUUUGAUCAAUUCGUUCAUCAAGUAUUUACUAAACUGCUACAUGUCAAUGUGUUUAAUAUCUUAUAAAAUCAACUUUAGUUACUAACUUUCAUUAUUUGUCUGUUUAGAUUUUUCAUAGUGGAGAAUAAACCUCUUUAAUAAUGUCAGCAAUUAAUAAUAGAACAACUGUUUAGGUAAGUUCGAACUCUGGGGAAUUAUGAAACUUACCAGGAAACAUUGAUGUCAAUGGAAGGAAAUAAAAUAAGAUCAUAAAAGCCUGAGGUGGUGGCUUGCGACUAAAAUAUUGAUUUGAGUAUGUAUUAACUGAACCACUUAGCUAUGAUAAUGGCAAAGUUUGACAUCUGGAAGUUGUGAUUGAUUGUAUAGUGAUAAAGAAAUUGGUCAAAACCCCUAAACUGGGUGAAAAGAAAUUGAUUUGGUAGCUUCCUCUACAUGUAUUAUUUGAGAUAAUUUUAGCAGGGAAUACCAGACUGGAGGCACUUUUUCAGAUACAGGCUCAAAUUGUUUGCCAGAAAUAAAGUCUAAACGGUUCUCUUUACCUGCUACUUGUGACUUGUGGUUUAUUGAGGCAGCCAUUGUAUCUGCCUGAAAGAAUGACUAUUUUUAUUUAUUCUGUUUUAGACACAAUGUGAGUGUGUGUACAGGUGUGCAUGGAAACCCUGUGGGAGGUAUUGGGGUAGCAAUAAGCAAUAAGCAAAAGACCCAGGAAUAGUCCUCUGUAUACUGCAAAGAUUAUUUUGAGUAGAAAAUUAUUUGAAAUCACAACUUAUUUCCAGGAAGUUUUGUGAGUUUUUUUUUUCUUGAUCAGACUAGAUAUGAAUUAUUUUAAUAUGAGAAAAACCCUUGAAAUAAGGUAAGGAUUAGAACGAUAAUUUUUUGUUUUCGUGAUUUUUUCUUUGUAAAGAUGGAAGACUUUGGGUAGCUGGUGGGCAAGAUGAUGGUGUUGGCAAUGGAAAGAACCACAGAUGAGAGGCAAGGCAAGAAGAAGGUUUCAGAAAAGGAAAUGAGAAGAAGAUUGCCGAGUUUGGCUUGGGACCGAGUGUUACCAACAUCACUUCUCCUGUGUAGCAGUCAUAGGAUGCUGGUAGGGCAAUAAGGAGCAGCACAUGAUGGAAAAUGAUGAGCUUACAUGAAGUCUGGAGGCCUCAGUUUCAGAUAUUAGUCUGGCUUGAAUGAACUAAGACAGUCUCUGAACUUCUCUGGACCUCAGUUUUCUGUUCUAUGAAAUUUAGAAUUGAGGCCUUAUGGCUUCACAGCUUUAUGAAUAUCGAAUUAUUUUCUGCUCAAAAUGCCCUUUCUUUGCUUGCUGUCAGGAAGAUAGAACAGUUACUAGAAUCAAGGACAUAUGCAAACAUCCAAAAUAAACGUAUAGCAUUUGAACAAGCUUUUAAUUGCAUGCAUUUCAGUGAAUACACCCUGUUAUGGACUGAUGGUCUAGGGGUCAAGUGGAUAAUGCUAAUUCCAGACAGCGAUGGCUUGCUGAAUGCAGAGGAAAUGACGAACAGUGGUAAAAUUUAAUAAAUACCUAACGAGUCACAUCUGACCCUGUGUUUCAAGAGAGAACUCAACGUGUCUUUGUUGGGAAAUCCCAUGACACCACACUGUGUUUUCACCUGGCAAGUGAUGCUGGCACCAGUAGUUGCCUACACUGAAGCCCUUCUUUCUAGAAUAGUUAACACUGAUUUGCUUUAGUCAGGAUUGCUAUUCUUACUGGGGGAGCCAUGGCUGUGAUAAAAAAAGUAAUUAAGCCCACCAAGAAAGGCUGAUUUUGUUGGCUGGCUACAGCCUAGGAUUUGGAAACAAUAGACGGGACAAUACUGUUGUGUUUGGGAAUAGUUUUGCUUUGAUCUGGGUAUCGUUCAUAGGUUGAGCACAAAGCUGUUUUUACUGGUAGUUAAACAUUUGGCAAUUGCUGAUCAGUAACAAUGUACUGGAUGUCCUACUGAAGUAGCAUGGUUCAGUGAGCAGAACAUUGAUUGAACUAGAAUGUAAAAAUAUUUGUACUUAAGUGUGUCUGUGUUGCUAUUGAUUGGCCUUGUGAAUUUGUUUUCAUUCUUUAGUAUUUUGGUAUAUGUGCGUAUGUGUGUCUGUAUUGGUUUACUUUGGGAUGUGCUGCCAGGAGAUAGGAUAUCUUUAACUAGAUGAGUUUAAAACAUGAUGAAUUGAAAUAUUUAAAGAAAUAACCUAAGGUGAUGGUAAAAAACAAAAAAAAAAUCAGAAAACAUAAAAAUGAAGGAUAUGAGAAAGCUGAAUGAAAAGCAUGUAUUCAUGUAAAGAUAUUUGAGAAAGAAUAUCUAAGAUGUUCGAGACGUCUAUCUUAAGCAUAACAAUGUAAUUAAAAGACAAAGGAGAGUUGGCUCAUAGAUUUGCUAAGCAUCUUUCAUACUUCUUUAUUUUUUAUAGUCUUUAGAUAGUUCUAGUUCUGCAGUUUUCUUGUUUGUAAAUCCACAUAGUUUCUAAGUGAGAGCCAAAGCCAUGUUCCGUUCUUGGAACAAAUUCCUCAAUAUAUCAGAACUUCACACGGUCUCCUUCGAUUAUCUUAACUCUUACUUGGGUUAAGUGCAUGUACUGAGGUAGGAUCCAUGUUGUCCUUGUGGGUGCACGUAUUUCAGCUAAUUUGAUCAUUUACUAUUAGGCAACUAUUUCUACGUACCUUCAUUUUAAGAACAAAUAAGCAUGUUAAAUGUAACCUAGAUGAUGUCGAGAACAACAGGUUAGACGAAUAAUUCCAGAAUUCUUCAGACCAGGAGUACUUAAAAAUGUUCUAUACUAUUUACAUCUUUCUACAAAAUAGGGGGAUGUAUUUUCAAUCUGGACUAAAUUAGUCAUUCCUUUACUUGCCUACCGGCGCACGGGCUCAUUAAACCCUCCAAUCCGGAGGCUGGGAGGGGUAGUGAGGGGAGGGGAUUGGGGGUUCACAGCCCCAAAGGCAGAUAGGACAAAGUGUUCUACCAGGAAAAAAAAGAUGCAGGCCUCUGUGACAAGUUCUAAAUUGUAACCUCGGGAAAAUGUGUAGUCAGUAAUCAAAUUUCUACAAAGAAAGAAAAAAAAAAAAAGCCAACCCUAUGAUGCAGUGGAACAACCAGAUCUUGAGGCCAGAUACGCAUGAGAAAGGAAUUACAUGAGAUACAUAAAAGAGAGGAGAAGGAAGAGCUGAAAAAAGCCGUGUCAAGAUUGCAAGCUCCGCACUCACGUAGGAUUUGCUGUCUGUUGGGCCCAGCUCUGAAGGGGCCUGCUCCUCUGAUGGAUCUCUGUGCUGCAGGGGUGCGCCUAUCAGGGAGUUUGCUGACCGGAGUCUGGAGGCAACACAGGGGAGUGAAUAAAAGUGCAAGCUACAAGCAGAGACUGCUGGGGUGUGAACCCUGACUCCUUUACUGUCACCUUGUGACUCUGGGCAAAUUUCUUAAACUCGUGCACCUCGGAGGAUUCAAUUACAAAACGUGAACAUUAAGAUACCUGCCUCACAUAUGUAUUAAAUGAGAUACUACGUGUAUUAAGUGAGAUCAUUCAUGCAAGGAAUUAGGAGAGUGUUUGAUCAGUAUUAGCUCUUAGAAUGAUGGUGAUUUCCUUUGAGAGAUUUAGUGGUGAAAGGAUUUCAAUUACUGAAAAUGUAAUUGGGUUGCGGUGAGCCAGGAGAUUUUGCAUCGUGACAAUUAUUGAUAUAGUGGCAGACAAAAGAACAUAGGCAACCAAUAAUACUUGGGUAUGAGGAAAUGGACAAUUUGGGGUAUCAAGAACUGUCUUAAAUUAUUUAUUCUGAAAUUUGGACUCCAUUGGAAUUUAUUGCUUUCCUUUUUUUUGCUAGAGGCAUCUGUAUUUGGUUUGGUUCCUGGGGCAUAAGCUCCCUGAGGUGAGGUCCAUGACCAUAUAAGUGCUAAGAUGGAAAAAAACUUUUGGUCAUAAUAAUAUUCUAUAAAGGACCCUGGAUUUGUUUAUUUUGAAAUGCAAGUAUUAGAGCAGAAUAUAACAGCAAUUAGAAUGUUCUCUGUCACUGUGCUAAUACAUUUUUUUUCUUUUAACUUGUGGUGUUUUGAAGAUGACCCAAAGCUUGGUUAAGCAUGACUAAAUUACACCAUGUAAUAUGUUCAUUUUACUAGAAGGUUAGUGUGAGCUUAAUUUUAUACAAACAUUAAAAUAUUAUUGCAUGUAAUAAUAUACUCCAAUUGCCUCCUAAUUAAAGAAUUAGUAAAAACUCUCAGUUGGAUAUGGCACAGAAAAUUUCUAUUCUGAUUUAUGUUUGAUUCUGCUUCUCAUGUUCUACAAGGUUUUUUGAACUUGAUUACAGAUCUCUCUUACUGUUUUUCUCUUUUUGAGCUAUGUUAGAAUUUAUUGGUUUGGAAAGAAGAUAUACAGAUGGCCAACAGACACAUGGAAAGAUGCUCAUCAUCACUUAUCAGCAGGGAAAUGCAAAUCAAAACUACAGUGAGCUUUCCCCCCACACCUUCCAGAAUGGCUUAAAUCAAUACAAGAACCAACAGGUGUUGGCGAGGAUGUGGAGAAAAAGGAACACUUGUACACCGUUAAUGCGAGUACAAACUGGUGCAGCCACUAUGGAAAACAGUAAGGGGUUUCCUCAAAAAGUCAAAAAUAGAGCUACCCUACAAUCCAGCAAUCACACUACUGGGUAUUUACCCAAAGAAUACAAGAACACUAAUUCAAAGGGAUGCAUGCACCCCUAUGUUUAUAGCAGCAUUAUUUACAAUAGGCAAACUAUGGAAGCGGCCCAAGGGUCCACUGAUAAAUGAAUGGAUACAGAAGAAGUGGUGUAUAUAGACAGGGAAUAUUAUUCAGCCGUAAAAAGAAUGAGAGCUUGUCAUUUGUAAUGACACGGAUGGAGCUAGAGAGUAUAAUACUAAGCUAAAUAAUUCAGUCAGGGAAAGACAAAUGCUAUAUGAUUUGGCUCAUAUGCAGAAUUUAAGAAACAAAACAAAGAAGCAAAGGUGAAAAGAGAGAGAGAUCAAAAAAAGAGACUUUCAGGUAUAGAGAACAAGCUGAUGGUACCAGAGAAGAAGGGGGUGGGGGGUUGGGUGAAACAGGUGUUGGGGAUGAAGGAGAGCACUUGGGAUGAGCAGUGGGUGUUGUGUGGACGUGCUGAAUCACUCUAUUGUACACCUGGAACUAAUAAUAGCAGUGUAUGUCAACUAACUGGAAUUAAAAACUUUAAAGAAAGGAACUCAUUGGUCAAAUGCUUCCUUUAAUGCUUCCCAUCAGGUCUCUCAUUAAUAUAAUAUGUAUAAUAUAUGUAUUAUAUAUUUUAAAAGUAUAUAUUAGUAUAUGUACAAGUGUAUUAGUUAUAUCAGCAUAUACAAAUCAAUAUAUUGUAUUAAUAUGAUAUGUCAUUAUUGCCAUAUUCUAAUAUAUAUUUGUAUGUAUAUAUCUGUGUGCCUAUAUUCAUACACAUGUAUAUUUAUAUAUAUAUGUAUAUAUACACAAUUUUUUUGCCUUGCCAGUGAAUAUACUUGUUCAAGGGAGAGUCUUUAUUAUGUUGCUGAGGAGGACUUACCUUCUGCUGCUGCUCAUCAGCACGCCGACUUCCAGCUUUAUUUGUUUCCUCUUCUGUAAAGUAGGGGGGAAGCUCAUUGCCCUUCUUUUUUUUUUUUUUUUUUUCUUUUUUUAGGAAAAGUAACCUCCUAAGAUUUUCAUUAAGAUAUACUCUCUUCUUGGGCUGAACUCUUAACUAGAAGCUAUUUCCACGCAAGGCUGGUUUCGUGGGUGUUUGACUUGUGCAGCUGUGCAGGGCCCCAUUCUUGGUUUAAUUCUUAUUUUUAUAUUCUUAAUUUCUGAAUAAAAAGCCCCGUGUUUUUACUUUUCACUGGUCCUUUGAAUUACAGAGGUGGUCCUGUUUCAAAACUAACAUCAAAUUUCAUCCUGAGUUGCUGAAGUUCACAGAGCCACUUUAACGGUUUCCAUUAUAUUACUAGUGAUAGCACAAGACUUCACGCACCGUAUGGAUCGCAAGGGUUUAAUCAAAUGUUUUAUCUGAGGAUGUCAGGCAUUCACUCUGUUCCCCAUAUUGAGACACAGACUGCAAAUAAUAAGGGACAGACUGCCAUCACGUGCUGCCAGAUACGACUUCCUGAAGACACUGUAUCAUACAACCUGAAUGUUCAUGGAGGAAUGUUGGAUAAUCCCCGAGGAGUGGCGUUCUGGAAAAUAACUUGUCUGUAAUACUCAAUAACUUUAAAGUCUUGACUGACAAAGAAAGAUUGAAGGACUGUGUCAGACUGAAAGAGACUGAAGAGGCAGAAAUUAAUGCAAUAUGUGACCUUGGACUGGAUCCUUUUUUAAGUCACUUUCAAGACAGUUGAUGGAAUCAGAACAUAGAUUUUUAGAUUAUGCCGAGAAGAAUAUUUUAGUCUACACGGGGAAUAUGUCAGAUAACAAUGCCAUAUUAAUAAAGAUAUAAUAGGCACUUUGGUGAUAAUCUAACUUCCAACUUUAGACACAAAUACUGUGAGAAUUCUGCUUCUGUUGAAACCUUCUUAGUAAACCUGUACUGCACCUUUAGUUGCAUAAGUGCUACAAAGUUUUGAAAAAUACACAAAAUAAAUGCAAAAAAAAAAAUCCAACUUUGGGGCCACAGCUAUAGUGUGUGGAAUAAUCUUUUAUUCUUCUUUUGAGUGUGUUUUCUUGUUUUUUGAAAUUUAUGAACUGUAAGUAAAAGGAGAAACAAGAAGGAAUAUCCAUGAGCAUAGAGACAGUAAUAGAGAGGCAAGAAUGAAUGAAGUUGUCAGGAGCACGAGUGAAAGGAGUGAAGAUGAUGGUUAAGAGAGGAACUCUGGGGACGCUGGCACCCAUUCGGAGAGCUGGAAGAAGAAGACUAGGAGCUCAGGAAGGGACUGAGAAGUAUGUCGAGAGAGGGAAAACAACCUUGAAUGGCUUGGGGGCCCACAAGUCACAGGAAGAAAACUUUGGGUUUUUUUAAAGGAAGGAAGUGAGUGGUCAACAUUGUCAAGUGUUACUGAGACGUAAGAGAGGUUUCAGUGACAUGGGAAGGGAAGAAGAUUUUGGAAGACUUAGGAAUGCAUAGCAGUUAACAAAAUGGAAGUUCUUAUAGAAGGAGCCCAGUUCUUUUUUUUUUUUUUAGUCCCAGUUCUUAAGUGAGAAGAGAAUUAGCAAUAGCCACAGGGACAUAGGCGGAGAGUGGAGUUAACUCAUUUUCAAGACAGAAGACAAUGGGCAGCAUUUGAUUGCUUAUGGGAUAGACAUAGUAGAGAGGAAAGGGGUGGGAAGAGAGAUAUAGAAAUGAAUGAUGUCCUUGGGAUGAUAUGGGAUUUAGGACCUGGGCAAAGAAUACCCUAUAGAUUCGUGUCAUUGUGACAAAACAGUAGGGGAAAAUGUGGGUACAGAUUUAUGGGUAGGAACUGAAUGAGCUUACAUCUGAUAUAUAUGGUUUAUUUUAUUACAUAUAUGAAAUGUAUCAUAUAUUGUCAUAUAUAUGAUAUUUAUAUAAACCCUGCAGAUACAAACUUCUUCAGCUGAUUUUCAUGGUCCAAGAUGGAUUUCUUUCUAUCUAUCUAUCUAUCAUAUAUCUAUAUGGAAAAGCGAUGUGCUGAGAGAGGAAUAGCAUUGUAAUGUCAGUGAACACUGAAUACAUACUAGAAAAAUAAAUGGUAAUCCAAAAUGUUAAAAAAUUAAACAUCGAUGUAUUUUGGAAAAUCCGUUGGUCUCUUUUUCCUCCACUUAAUUUUGUUUUAGCUGGGUGAUAUUUUUUCUCUUUUAAUAAUACCCACUAAUGUUACCUAAAUAGAAAUUUAAAAAAUAAAGUCAACCAGCUAUUCAAGACAUUACAUCUAAAUCGGUCUUACUUAUAUCCCAGGGAGUUGUAUUGGUGAUAGAACAGUCACUGCCCCCGUGCCAUCUGCCAUAAAUACAUCCUACAGUCAACAACAUGAAAGCCAUUAGGAAUAAACACACAGGGUUUCUGGUAUGCUGUGAUUGUCACCUCCUUGGAUCUCAUGCCCAAUGCCUAAAAUGAGUUAAGCAUAUAAAUCCUGCAGACGCCGAUGUCUCCAGCUGAUUCUUAUUAUGUAAGGAUGGGAAGAGAGUUUUAAAAUGAACCAGCCAGGGGAAAGCUCAGUCAGCACUGUUAGGGAUCUCUAUACCAUGGCUUAGAGGAGGUGGAUGGAUUGGGUGGGAAGAAUGAGGAAACAGAGUUCAGGGCAGUGUUCAAAUUCUGGGUUUCCAUCUCUAAGAACAUGCCCAUUACUCUAGAGGAUACCUCUUUUUUUUUUUUUUUUAGUCCCCCUCCUCACUUAUUUUCUUUUUUCUCUUCCAUUUUCUUCUGUCUUGAUCUUUCCAGGUGGCCACUGGAGAGCAGGACUAAUUCACAUCCAGAAGAAUGAAGAGUUGGAAUGAGUCUUUCUAAUCCAUUGACCCCUAUGUUCUACCAAGAAGGAAACUCUCUUUUCCAAAUAGUUUUCUUCCUUCGUAUUGUGGAGCUAAAAAAAGGAGGCAUGAAAAUAGCUUCAAGUCAGCCCCUCUGCAUUGUCUGGAGAACAGCAGAAGACAGGAGGGGAGCCCUGGGAUUUGGGACUUCAUGAUAACCGUGAACUGACAGACGUAUUUCCUGUGGGCUACGGCUGCUGACUUCCAAAACACACAGAGCAAACACAUGUUCAAAAUGUUGAGCCACCUUCUUGUGCCCAGGAUGAAAAUGGCAUGAAGUCCAAAGAAGCCGACCCUGACCCUAUGGUGCUGCUGAACCCACGCUAGAGCUGCUAAUUCCAGACGUCUGGCUUCCUGAGAAAAUAAGCCCCUAAAUUAAUCUACUAUUAAUAGACUUUUCUGAUUCUUGUAGUUCAAAG